rnacentral:rRNA from 1 species
UACGGAGGGGGCAAGCGUUGUUCGGAUUUACUGGGCGUAAAGGGCGCGUAGGCGGCGUGACAAGUCACUUGUGAAAUCUCCGGGCUUAACUCGGAAUGGUCAAGUGAUACUGUUGUGCUAGAGUGUGGUAGGGGCAGAGGGAAUUCCCGGUGUAGCGGUGAAAUGCGUAGAGAUCGGGAAGAACACCGGUGGCGAAAGCGCUCUGCUGGACCACAACUGACACUCACAGGACGAAAGCUAGGGGAGCGAAUGGG